rnacentral:rRNA from 1 species
CAGUCGCCGCGGUAAUACAGAGGGUGCAAGCGUUAAUCGGAUUUACUGGGCGUAAAGCGUGCGUAGGCGGCUUCUUAAGUCGGAUGUGAAAUCCCUGAGCUUAACUUAGGAAUUGCAUUCGAUACUGGGAAGCUAGAGUAUGGGAGAGGAUGGUAGAAUUCCAGGUGUAGCGGUGAAAUGCGUAGAGAUCUGGAGGAAUACCGAUGGCGAAGGCAGCCAUCUGGCCUAAUACUGACGCUGAGGUACGAAAGCAUGGGGAGCAAACAGGAUUAGAUACCCCGGUAGUCCCUGUCUCUUAUAC